UUUGUGAAUUGUGAAUUUUGCUUUGUUAAUUUGCCAAUUGUGAAUUACUUUAUGUUAUUCCUACUAAGAUUUUUCUAUGGUAUUCUAUUUUAUUUCACUUUUGUUGCAGGUGCUUGCAUUUUUCUUUUUUUUCAUGUUAGUAGCUGAACAUGAUUAAGGAGGGGUUACGUAUGAUUCUUUGUAUCAGAUGAUUGUUGUGGCUGAUAUUGAUUUUUCCUUAAUUGAUUCAGAGAGGGAAAAGAUGCCAAUUGCCAAGGAUUGGAGAUCGAAAAGGAUGGCGAAUGGAUUCUCUGCGAGCUAUUGCCAAAUUCUUUUGUGAUCCUUGCUGGAGAUGCUCUCAUGGAGUCAUAUUACAUGAAGAUUGGUAAGGAAGAAGAUACGUAAAGAAUGUGAUGCUAUGUUCCUGAUUUAAUCAGGUGUUUGAUGAAAUUUCUUAUGAGUUCUAGAAGCCAUAAUACAUGGAGAGUCGUAAGGAGAAAGAUAGGUAAGAAAUGUGAUGCUCUAUUGUUGAUCUAAUCAAGGUAAGCUGUGUUUUAUUCUUAUUACUAUUUAUCAAUUAAAAAUGUAUUGUAUAUAAAUAUUUUUUUAACAAGGGGUUGCUGAUAUUUCCUAGAGGUAUGAAAGGUUUGAUUUAGCAUUGACAAAAAGUAGAUAACUCAAUUCAAUUAUGAUCCUACUUUCAUGGAGGAAAUGAGGACAAGAAGACAAACAUCUCAUGAGUUUCACAUACACAAUUGCAGAACCAGUUCAGAAACCAUAGAAAUAUGGAAUAUGCAAAUGGACAAAUGUCCAUGUACAAUGAUAGAUUUGCUAAAGAAGUUUUCAUAAAAGAAAUAUUCAACUUGUGGUGGUGUACAUAAAAGUAACGUUCAACUAGCAUUAAUAACACCUACUCUUCUAAGUUUAUGAAAUUUUACAUGUAUUACU